UAUUCGAAAUUCUUUAGUAUUUCUUUUUUUUUUUUUUUCUUUUUCUUCUUCUAUUGCUUUGGCUUCUCUGUGCUAUCACAGAAAUACCACUGAGAGAAAGAC
rnacentral:ribozyme from 14 species